CUACGGGAGGCUGCAGGCGCGAAACCUCCGCAAUGUGAGAAAUCGCGACGGGGGGAUCCCAAGUGCCAUUCUUAACGGGAUGGCUUUUCAUUAGUGUAAAGAGCUUUUGGAAUAAGAGCUGGGCAAGACCGGUGCCAGCCGCCGCGGUAACACCGGCAGCUCUAGUGGUAGCAGUUUUUAUUGGGCCUAAAGCGUCCGUAGCCGGUUUAAUAAGUCUCUGGUGAAAUCCUGCAGCUUAACUGUGGGAAUUGCUGGAGAUACUAUUAGACUUGAGAUCGGGAGAGGUUAGAGGUACUCCCAGGGUAGAGGUGAAAUUCUGUAAUCCUGGGAGGACCGCCUGUUGCGAAGGCGUCUGACUGGAACGAUUCUGACGGUGAGGGACGAAAGCUAGGGGCGCGAACCGGAUUAGAUACCCUAGUAGUC
rnacentral:rRNA from 1 species